GUCGCAUGAAUUCCAAACUGACUGUCCGGACUCAGGUCGCAUUUUUUAAAUAUUCAACCUGUAACAGAUUUGGACCACAUAUGAAAGUGGCCCAAAUCAGAACUGGAAAAGACUGGACGCCAUGUGACUUGGGCUGUUUACACUAAUAGAAAAAAAAAUCAG